rnacentral:lncRNA from 1 species
AUUUCGGGGCUGUCAUCACCAGAAACGCCGGCUGCCGGCCGCCCACCAGCUCGGCUCCAGCCAGCAAGGCUUCCCGUGAGCGGCCCGGGUGUGCUCUGGCUGCUGCUUCCCCUUGUGUCUGUCCCUGAAAUAAACACAACUGCAGCACGCUGCGGUAAGCAAAGCUGCAGCCUUGCAUCUGGUUGCAGCGACGUUUUGAAAAACCCCAUCCGUCAGCCUCGUUGCAGUAAAGAGACUCAACAAGAGGACGCUUGUCUGGGCUUUUUCUUCCCUGCCUUCCACACGCAUGGUGGUAUCUGCAUUUUUACUUUUCCCUCCCAGAAAUGCAGUCUUUUCAAGGGGCAUCGGAGCCCGAACGUGUGCACUCUAAGGGGACAGUACACACUGCUUAGUUGGCUUGUUUUUGUAAUGUCACACACUCCACAAUGGAUCUUAUUCUCAAACCUCUCAUUUCUAAGACUCACUAAGCCCAGUGAAGCUUAUUUUAUUUGUAUGAAAAGGAUAAGAAGCAAAAGCAUUAGAUUCCUUGCUCUACAAUGGCUCUUGAUUUCAUGAAUUCUUGAUAUCAGGUGUCCUGAUUUUGGUUAGCUUUGUUUCACAUUAUCAUUUAGCUUGACCAGGGGAUUAAAUAAGAGUAUUAUAUUUUAAUAAUGACAGGUUAUGUUGGAAGAGGUGGGAUUUGGCCAACUAUCUCAUAAACCACAGGAUCCUUCCCAAGUCCCAGUACAUUCAUGAUUAAUGUUGUCUAAAAAACAGAAAAAAGUAAUAAACCAUGUUAAUAAGUAUUUAACAUAGCAAAUGUUGGGCUAACUCCCCAAAUCAACACACAAACAGGACUUCCUAGAUUAACAGUUCAUUUUAAAAAUGGAAGGGAAAGACUACAAUGUACUUUUAUUGUUAGGACAAAGAAUUUUUAAAAUUCAACACUAAAUAAAACUUCUAGAACUAUGUUCUGAAAGGCCCUAAGAUACUUCAUCAAUACAAUUAGUUUUUCAAACUCAUUACACUUACCCAAAUGGCAAGCACUCAAUCACUCAGAUUUCCAACUCCACUUAUACACUUUAUUCUGAUGAAAUCUCUCACCAGAUUGACUUCUUUUUAAUUCAUGUGCAUACUAGAGUUGCUGAACUGAUUUUAUCACUUGUACUUUGAAUGUAUGGAUUCUAGGUAAAAUAAGACCCAAAGGUUUUACCUUGAAACAAUUAUUAUAUCUGAAAAUAAAUUUCAUACCUACGCCCAUCUGAUGCUUGCCAAGACUCAGAUGGCAGUGAAUGAACAGGUAGGCUGCACAGUGCCCUGCGAUUAACGAUGGCAUGGGCUCUCAAGGCAGGGCCCCAUGUUCGCUCCUGGCACCAGCCCUUACUAGCUUUGAGCCCCAAAGUAAGCUAUUAACUUUGCUAAGCCUUCGUUUCCUCAUCUGUAAAAUGGGGUUGUACCUUCUUCCUAUAGUUGUUGGAAACAAUAAAUAACACUAUGUAUGAAAGGGGCUCAGCAUAGUAUCUUGCCCAUAGUUAACACUUCAUUAAAUUUUAGCUACAUUGAUUUUUUUUUUUUUUUUUUUUUUGAGACAAUCUCACUCUGUCGCCUGGGCUGGAAUGCAGUGGUGCAAUCUUGGCUCACUGCAACCUCUGCCUCCCGGGUUCAAGCGAUUCUCCUGCCUCAGCCUUCUGAGUAGCUGGGGUGACAGGCAUGCGCCACCAUGCCCGGCUAAUUUUUGUAUUUUUAGUAGAAAUAGGGUUUCACAGUGUUGGCUGGGGUGAUCUUGAACUCCUGACCUCAGGUGAUCCACCUGCCUUGGUCUCCCAAAGUACAGACAUGAGCCACUGCGCCUGGCCCAUUCAUUCUUAUUAUGAAUCCUUAGUGACUCUAGAAUAGAACUUUUUUUUAAAAAGCUAAAUACUUUUUUUUCUUUACUCUUUAUGUGGUUUAAAAGAUAUAUUACUUUUGAACACCAGUGGUAACUAUUUGGGGAGAGCAAGUUGGAGACAUUUAAAAUCAGUUGCAAUAAGCAAACAUGCUAUUGUAUAUUGUUACUCAAAUAUAUAGAGAUUCUCUCUGUUGACUUUAUUUUAAAAAAUUUUUAACUGGCUUUUUAAAGUUUUCAAUACUUAAAUACAUAAGUUUUCAGUAUUUAACUACUAUAAACAUACUAACUUGCUGAGAAUGCCACUCAUAUAUAUUUCAAGGGAAACGGUCAUAAAAAUGUAAAUGCUACUUAGAAAAUAAUGUUUUCAAUGCCAUCUAGCUUUCACUGUGAAGAGUGAAUCAGCAUCUAAGAGCCCAGUUUCUGUCUCUUAGAACCUGAAAUCUUGUCCAGUGUAUGCUUUUUCUUCAUUCGAGUACCUUUAAAGAGGACAUAUAUUGUAAAAGAACAGAAAAGGGCUUUUGUUUUGUUGAAAGGCCUGCAAAUCAAAUAGAAUGACACCCGCUGCAAGCUGAGUUGAAACAUUUAUCCUUUUGUCUUCUCUCUCUCUGGGGGGGCAUAAAAAAAUUAGUCAGAAGAGGCACCUGGACAGAGGUACUUUAAAAUGCAACAGUAAAAUCUGAAUGUGUUCCUGGCUUGCUAGUGACUUCAGUUAUGAUUUAAGAGGACCUAAAGCUAUCUCAGCUUUCAUACCUGUAAAAAUGAGGGAUCCUUCCUUAAAAAUAUUAGGAGAACAUACAAUGAAUUGUCAAGCAUGGAAUUAGGCAUAGAUGUUGGGGACUGAGUGAAAGAUAACAGGAAAAGUGGAAGGCCUUAGAAAAUGGUAUCAAAGAGUGGGGAAAAAGUCGGAAAGUGGCCUGACACAAGUGAUGACACUAAAUGACACCAUCUACAUUUGUUGAAUAUAAAUAUUGUAGUUAAAAAAAUAUAUAUUUUUAUAUUUAAUACUCACCUCAAACCUAUGAAGUAAGUACUAUUAUUAGUCCCAUUUUACAGAUGAGAAAAUUGAGGCUUAAGGAGGCAUAAAAUAAGGUCAAACUCAUAUAGCUAGUAAAAUUUAGGUCUAUUUUAGACCCUGAGUCACUUGUCAUAACUUUGUUAUUUAUUUAUUUUUUUAAAAAUCACAAGCAAGGUGAGAAUCAUGGUUACCAAGUUCUUUAGAGAAAGCUCAGGAAGAGGCUGGGCACAGUGGCUCAUGGCUGUAAUCCCAGCAUUUUAGAAGGCCAAGGCGGGUGGAUCACUUGAGGUCAGGAGUUCAGGACCAGCCUGGCCAACAUGGCGAAACGCCAUCUCUACUAAAAAUACAAAAAUUGGCUGGGCGUGGUGGCACCCGCCUGUAAUCCCAGCUACUUGGGAGGCUGAGGCAGGAGAAUCACUUGAACCCAGGAGGCGGAGGUUGCAGUGAGCCUAGAUUCUGUCACUGCACUCCAGCCUGGGCAACAGAGCAAGACUCCAUCUCAAAAAAUAAAAAUAAAUAAAUAAAUAAAAGUUCAGGAAAGAUGCUAAGGUACUCCCUAACACAGCAGAGGCGCUUCAGGUCCCACUGACUCUCCCAGCCUAUUCACUGUCUUCCUGCCUGGCUUUGUCCUGGGUGAUGUAUUCCCUGGGGACUGUAACCAAUUCCAAGAAACCAAGAGAAGAAUGCCUUUAUUUUUUACAUUAAUUUGAUUCAUUAUACAGGCAGUGGUCUCUACAAGGAUGUCUGACCUAGAGUGGAGAUGGGGUGACUGAGGAUGGAAAUCUAGUCUGAACUCCACUCUCCAAUUUGGCAGGUACAGAGGUGGCAGUGGGCUGCUUCUACCCUGGCAUGGGUCUGCAUCAGCCCAGGACUCAAUCCAGAGGAAGGGGUGCCUAUUUUUUUUUUUUUAUCAAGAUACCACAUGGGCUGGUGGUAGCUCUGGGUGGUCAAUGGGAAGGAGGUGGUCAGAAGGAGUGACCUAUUGGUCACCUAUGUACCUAUGUCCUAGCAAGCCAUGUAGCAGAGUGGGAUGAGGGUGGUAAAGGAUACAGAGACUAUAUCUCAUAAUCCAUGGCAUUUACUCUCCUCCUGUCUUGAUCCCAAUUAUAACCAUCUGUCCCGUCUCUCCCUCCAGAAGACCUGUGUCUUACUCAGCUUUGUGUUCCUUACAUCUCUGUAGCACACACUCCCCUGCGAAGGGGUUUUAUAAGGAACCCAGAGCCAAGACAAAGGAAUCAGGAGGAAUUCUAGCACAAUGGGAAGCCCCUGAAGGGUUUAAGCAGAAGACAAUAAAAGACUCCGAGAAGUGGCAGCAGGGAGUGGAGGAAAAAAAGCCUGGAAUUUACCCUGCUUUCUGCUCUGCACAUGGAAUGCCCCCUCCAUGUGUCCAUUGUCAUCCAAGGUGUUUUGACAGGUCUAGAGUGGGGUAAAAGAAUGGUAUUUAUUCAGGCCUAAUAUUGAGGCUUGGGGCUGGGCUGUAUAUCAGAGGGCAUGCAUAGACAAAGCUGAACAAAGGGGCACACCUACUGGGCACCUGCUGGGCACUUCUCUAAAAGUGGCACUGAGACAUCAUUAGGAUGAAUUAGAACUAGGGCACCAGUUAACCCGGGCCUGCAUGCUAGUGAAAGGAAAAUUGCGCCUCUCCCUCAACCCUGCUCCAGACAACUGAAUGGUGACUUCAAGAACAAAUAUUCAGGCUGGGUGCGGUGGCUCACACCUGUAAUCCCAACACUUUUGGAGGCUGAGGUGAGUGGAUCACCUGAGGUCAGGAGUUCGAGACUAGCCUGGCCAACAUGGUGAAACCCUGUUUCUACUAAAGAUACAAAAAUUAGCUGGGCGUGGUGGUGGGUGCCAGUAAUCUCAGCUAGGAGGCUGAGGCAGGAGAAUCGCUUGAGCCUGGGAGGCAGAGGUUGUUGAGAUGGUGCCAUUGCACUUCAGCCUGGACGACAAGAGCAUAACUCUGUCUCAAAAAAAAAAAAAAAAAAAAAAGAACAAAUAUUCAAAGGAUAUUAAUUAGAAGGGGAGUGACAUUGUAGACCAGACCAUGCUCCAUCAUAUAAAAGCUGUAUUGUUGGCAAAGUUGUUGAGCAUCUCAUGGCCUCAUUUUCCUCGUCUGUAAACUAGUGCCUUGUCACACAAAUCUGUUAUGAGGAUUACAUGAGUGCCUAGGCAGAUGACAACUGUUAUGUAGCAAAUCUGUAGUGAGAAAUGAACCCAGAAUAUGCAGCACAAAAUGCCUCCUUAACUCCAUAGUCAGGUUAGAAAAAGAGAAGAGAAGGAAAGAGGAGAGAGAGAACCUGUCAUCAUAGAGAGAUCCCUACCCCCAACCCCCUCUGCUGGCUACCAAGGUAAGGUAGACCUGCCCACAAGGCUGGAAGUUUCGGAAAGGUAAAGAAAGUCUAAACACAUGCACAUACAAACACUAUUACUUAACAUUUUAGUAAUAUUAAGUCAUAUAACAUUUGGUGCCCAGGGUAAACUUCCAUUUGAUUAGAGGUUCCGGUUAGGUUAGUAUCAUCUCAAAAUUUACCUAAUUUAGUCUUCUCAUCAACCUCUCAAAGUAGUGUCUGCAUAUUUGGAUAUCAUUAACCUGUAGUCAAAACCAGGAGAUGUUGUGGUUCAUACAUAUUUUGUACACAUAAAGAUUCGACUUCAAUUUCUGCAGAAUAAGGUCAUAGCACACUUAGUAUUUAAUGUAUUUAAAGACAUGUAUGCAAAGAGAAAACAUGACAGCAUUUACCUCAUGCCCCUUAGCAUGAAAGCAUACAACACUAAUGAUAACUUUAUUAUCCUAUUUUUGAAUAUCACCAGCAACCUGAGAAAUUAUUUACGUUCAGAUACAAACAGGUCAAAUAUAAAUGGCCACAAUAGGAGCCAACUAUUAAUACAUAAUUAUAAAAUAUUAAGUCCCUUCUGAAGAAGCAAAAAAUGGCAUUUGCGGCUGGGCACGGUGGCUCACGCCUGUAAUCCCAGCACUUUGGGAGGCCGAGGUGGGUGGAUCACCUGAGGUCAGGAGUUCAAGACCAGCCUGACCAACAUGGUGAAACCCCAUCUCUACUAAAAAUACAAAAUUUAGCUGGGUGUGGUGGCGGGCACCUGUAAUCCCAGCUACUCGGAAGGCUGAGGCGUGAAAAUUGCUUGAACCCGGGAGGUGGAGGUUGUGGUAGGCCGAGAUCCUGCCACUGCACUCCAGCCUGGGUGACACAGCGAGACUCCAUCUCCAAAAAAAAAAAAAAAGGCAUUAACUUUGCAUAUUAUUAUUUACCAAAAAUGCAGAUACAUAAUGCUUAACAGUAUAAAAAACAAUUAUAUUUAUAUCAGUCGUCAUCACCCUUUAGAUUCGCCAUCUACAGGAGAACUAAGAAAAUGCUGGUUCUUCCCUGUAUGAAUGAUAAUCUAGCAAAACAAAAAAAUAGAGCAUUCUCAUAGUUGUAUUAAAGUUAUUGGGUGAUACUCCUAUUAUUUGGUGAUAAAAAUUAAAUACCUUUUAUGGCUAGAGUGAAUAUUCCCACCAAUGUUACCAAUCUGAUACACAAAAAUAAAUAGUAGGGUUUAAGUAAUAAGGGAAAGAUCAACUUUUCCUUAAGAUACCAUUUAAUGUACAUAAUUAUUAAAACCUAUAAUUUUCAAAUCAAUGAAAUUGAGGAAAACUAGAAAUUUUGGAUAGUUUUUUAGCGCAUGCUACUUAAAUUUUACGUUUUUUUCCUUCUAGGUGCUAAAAUUUUUUCUUUCUAGGUAUGACCAUGUUUAUAGUUACCUAUUAGCAAAGGUUGAAGGGCUGGGAAUCAGGAAACUCAUGAUUCUGCUUUUUAUUUUGAUCCCGAUCCUAUAACCUUGGACAUGUUAUUUAUCUACUAAAAGAAGAACACUAUUUCCCAUCCCCAAACUGCCUCAUCUCUUAGGGCAAGCCAAUCUUUGGUUUUCUAUACCACUGGGAGGAACCAUUGCAUAGGAAAAGCAGAACACUGGGUAAUAAAUUAUUCUGUGUAACUCUUUGGCAAACAUUAUUUAAUUUUUUGGCAACAGAUUCACCUUCUUGGUUAUGUUCUAAUAAAGCUCAUGUCAAGAGUAUCCAUGAAAACACACACUGUCUACUGGCAGGAGAAGCUGACAUAGGACCAAAAAAUAAUUGGGGAUUAGAAAGCGAUAAAUCAAUAUAAAAACGAUCAAGCUGUCUACUGUGAAAUUAAUGAAGUAGUAUCAAAGUGCUUUGUUCAGCUUAGAGGAAAAGCAAUAGAAACUAUAUAACUAGACAAUUCUUGUAAACCAGGAAUAAACAAUAGUCACACGCCAGGUUAUUACAACUGAGAUUAAGGACAGUGGUCUAAGGAAUUAAGGAUAUGUUACAGCAUCACUUCAUUUGGAACUACCACUUUAAAAAGAAGUGUAUACCUCACUGAGCAUCACAGAUUUCACCUUCAAAGACUUCAAAAUGACCAUCUGUUCAUGGAGCUGUCUGGUACAGACCCCAGGUUUCUGCCUUUUAGAAGAUGGUGGUCUAAGCCCGACAACAGUGGAGCAGAAAAACCCAUACAUCACCUUUCCUCCCACAGACGAUGUUUAACCGUACAGUAGUAGAAAAUGUGACUCUGAAGGAGCAAGUAUAUUUUAGAGGACAGAGAAAGUCUUACAAGGCGUGUUUUUAGAAAGGGUGGGAAAUCACCACCCUCCUUUGACCAGACAGGCAGGGCUUUGUGUAGGAGGGUGGGGCUGUCAGAAACUGUCUGAAUGAUGGAAGGCAGCAGCUUAGCAGGCUAGUGGGAAGAGCGACUCCAACUGCACGGCUCAGCUUAGGAGGCAGAAGUGAGGUCAAGAGUAAUGAUCUUUGCAGACCGUCCACAGGGGUGAGAUCACUCUGAGAAGCCCAAGGAAACAGAAGUGGAGGGUCAUGAUUCUGACCCUCAGUGUUAGCUGUGGAGAAACUCAAGCUCAUGGUCAGAUAAACCCUGCUCCACCCAGUAAUGGCCUCAGUGAUCCACUUAUGUGUUUGACCUAUUUCUUUCUCAUUUAUAAGGUACACAUGAUUCUGCCCUUUACAUAAGGUUGUUUCAUGAUCUUAAAGGAGAUUAUGUAGAUGAAAGGGCUUUGUAUUCCCAGGAUGCUAAUGUUAGAUUCUCAGGGCUCCCAUCAGUGUAAGAAUCAGACAAAUAAGAGGGUGAGUGGUCCCUGCUCAGCCCAUCGCCCUUAAAGACACAUGCUGGCACCUUCCCUCAUUGUAAUAGCCUGCUGGACUUUUAGUUUUGGGUUUAGGGACAUGCCAGGGGUGUCCUGCUGUUUAAGUGGCCAUUCAUCAACUCCAGGAAUGUGCUGGUGGUUUGCCUGAGUCUUAUCCAAAUGCCACUCUGGCCUUUGGAUAAAUACAGGAUGGGUGGCAACUGUGGUCAAAUUACUACUCCACCCUACCACAAGCCUUAUUUUCCACCUUCUUUGCUCCUCAAGGGAGUUUCCCCUUUUUCUUAUCCUUUAAAAUUAUUUUUAAAUAUUUAUUUGUCUAUGAAUUCUUAUAUCCUUACCUUGGUAUAUGAUUUUCCCAUAUAUAAUUUAUAUUUUGUGUUCAUUACAACAAGGGGUAGCAGAAGCAUAAGGGAAGGGACAUGGACAUGGGCCUUCACCAGACUUCUGGAUGAAAGAUGAGAUGACUAGACAAUUCCAAUAGUGAGAAAUGUAUUAGGAAAAAGGCUGAAUACAGAAUAAGCACAGCAAUAUGCUCUCCUUUGGCUUUAUAUCUACACUUCCAGAGGAGGAAACUGAAAUUUAUCAGGGUAGGUCCCGCAGCAGAGUAAUGACAGUAACAGUAACAGUGAUUACUACUGGUCCUGUGAUAACAACAAGAUUGGAACUCCGAUCUGGUGCUAAGCCAGUGAUGUCCAACAGAAAUGCAAUGCGAACCACACACGCAGUGUUCAAUUUUUAAGUAGCUACAUUAAAAUAACCAACAAGCAGGUGAAAUUAAUUUUAAUAAUCUGUUUUGUUUAACCCAAUAUGCCAAAAAUCAUUUCAAUAAUUAAUGAAUAUAAAAAAUAUUAGUGAGACAUUUAAUAUUUUUUGUACCAAAUAGUUGGAAUCCAGUGGGUAUUUGACAGCACAUCUGCAUUUGGACUAGCCACAUCCAUCUUGCAGCCAUUGUACACAAUAUUGUACACAAUAGCUACAAGUGGCUAAUGGCUCCCUUAUUGGACAGUGUAGUCUAGCAUGUUCCUAAGUAUUUUUGUGCCAUGAGCCCUUUUGGCAGUCUGGCGAAGCCCAUGAGUUCCUUCUCAGAAUAAUGUGUUUACAUGAAUAAAAUGUGGAAGACACAGGGUGACAAAGAAAGCAAUUAUUUUGAAACAUAGUUAUUCAACUAUUUAAAAAAACACAAAAUUGUGGUAUCGUAUAUACCUGCUUCUUCAAAUGGUGCUUUAAAUAACAUUAUCCAGAGGCGUAAUAAUUAUAAGAAAUUUUAAAUAAAAGAAUGAUCAUAAAUAAUAUUUCAAUAUGCCUAAAGCAACUGUAGUGAUGAUGAAAAUAUCUGUGACUUCAACUGAUAGCAAAUUAACUUUGAGUUGUGGAGUUAAUUUGGUGGGUCAAACCAAGACACUUUCCUAAUGACAUAGAAUAGGAGGGAAUACAUUAGAGGGCAUCAUUCACAGUCAGGUUGAGUACUGUUUCAUGAAACCUCUGUUAUAUUUGUAUGUAUACAUACACACGGUUAAAUACUGGGUUGCAAUGUAAAAUGUACUUUAUAUUGCGAGUCAUGGUUUUAAAAAGUUUGAAAUCUUCAUACUCUGCUAGUGAGAAUGCAAAACGGUUUAACUACUAUGGAAAGAAUCUGAUGGUUCCUCAAAGAGUUAAACAUAGAAUUAGCAUACGACCCUGUAAUUUCACUGUGUACACAUGCCCCAAAGAAAUGAAAACAAGUUAUCAAACAAGUAUAUGUACAUGCAUGUUCAUAGCAGCACUAUGCGUAAUAGCUCAAAGUCUUCAAUGUCUAUCAAUGGAUCAAUGAAUAAACGAAAGGUGGCAUAUAUAUGUAAUGGAAUAUUAUUAAUCCGUAAAAAGGAAUGAAGUUUGGGAACAUGCUACAACAUGGAUGAACCCCCAAAAUGUUAUGCUAAUUGAAGAAGGCUGGAUACAAAAAGGUCACAUAUGGUAUGAUUCUAUUUAUAAGAAAUAUCCAGAAUAGGUAAAUCCAUAGAGACAGAAUGCAGAUCAGCUGUUGCCAGGGGCUACGGGGAGUGAAGAACUGGGAGAAUCUGCUUAAUGGUGAAGGGGUUUUUACUUUGGAGUGAUGGAAAUGUGCUGGAACUAGAUAGAAGUGGUGGUUGUGUAACACCACGAAUGUACAAAAUGUCACAGAAGAGUCACCUUAAAAUGGUUAAUUAUAUGUUGUUUCACUGCAAU